AUUGAACGCUGGCGGCAGGCCUAACACAUGCAAGUCGAGCGGAUGAAGGGAGCUUGCUCCUGGAUUCAGCGGCGGACGGGUGAGUAAUGCCUAGGAAUCUGCCUGGUAGUGGGGGAUAACGUCCGGAAACGGGCGCUAAUACCGCAUACGUCCUGAGGGAGAAAGUGGGGGAUCUUCGGACCUCACGCUAUCAGAUGAGCCUAGGUCGGAUUAGCUAGUUGGUGGGGUAAAGGCCUACCAAGGCGACGAUCCGUAACUGGUCUGAGAGGAUGAUCAGUCACACUGGAACUGAGACACGGUCCAGACUCCUACGGGAGGCAGCAGUGGGGAAUAUUGGACAAUGGGCGAAAGCCCGAUCCAGCCAUGCCGCGUGUGUGAAGAAGGUCUUCGGAUUGUAAAGCACUUUAAGUUGGGAGGAAGGGCAGUAAGUUAAUACCUUGCUGUUUUGACGUUACCAACAGAAUAGGCACCGGCUAACUUCGUG
rnacentral:rRNA from 1 species